rnacentral:rRNA from 1 species
CAAUAGCGUAUAUUAAAGUUGUUGCAGUUAAAAAGCUCGUAGUUGGAUUUCGGGGCAGCCUGGCUGGUCCGCCGCAAGGCGAGUACUGGUCAGCCGCCCUUCCCCUCGAAAGCCCCGACUGCUCUUUAUUGCAGUGGUCGGGUAGUUCGGGACGUUUACUUUGAAAAAAUUAGAGUGUUCAAGGCAGGCCUACGCCUGAAUACAUUAGCAUGGAAUAAUGGAAGAGGACCUCGGUCCUAUUUUGUUGGUUUCCAGGACCGAAGUAAUGAUUAAGAGGGGCAGUUGGGGGCAUUCGUAUUUAAUUGUCAGAGGUGAAAUUCUCGGAUUUAUGAAAGACGAACAACUGCGAAAGCAUUUGCCAAGGAUGUUUUCAUUAA